AACGAACGCUGGCGGCAGGCUUAACACAUGCAAGUCGAACGCCCUAGCAAUAGGGAGUGGCGCACGGGUGAGUAACGCGUGGGAAUAUACCGUUUAGUGGGGAAUAACGUUGGGAAACUAACGCUAAUACCGCAUACGCCCGAGAGGGGAAAGAUUUAUCGCUAAACGAUUAGCCCGCGUGAGAUUAGGUAGUUGGUGGGGUAAUGGCCUACCAAGCCUACGAUCUCUAGCUGGUCUGAGAGGACGAUCAGCCACACUGGAACUGAGACACGGUCCAGACUCCUACGGGAGGCAGCAGUGGGGAAUAUUGGACAAUGGGCGCAAGCCUGAUCCAGCCAUGCCGCGUGAGUGAUGAAGGCCUUAGGGUUGUAAAGCUCUUUCGCCGAUGAAGAUAAUGACGGUAGUCGGAGAAGAAGCCCCGGCUAACUUCGUGCCAGCAGCCGCCGUAA
rnacentral:rRNA from 1 species